rnacentral:rRNA from 1 species
UUUUAUUAAAAGGUUUGUAGGCCUAGCAACAGCCAUCAUUUAUUUCGUUACAGUUAAUUUUUAUUUUAUUUUUAUUUAUGAAUUGGGUUUAAUUUUUUAUUAAAAUUUUUAAUUUAAUUUUUUAAUUUAAGUAAUAAUGAUAGAAUUAGUAGUAUUAAGGUAAACUAAAUAUAGGAAUUCGGCAAAUAUUAUUUCCGCCUGUUUAACAAAAACAUGGCCUUUAGAUUACUUAAUUUUAGGUCUGACCUGCCCGGUGAUUUUAUUUAAACGGCCGCAGUAUUUUGACUGUGCGAAGGUAGCAUAAUCAUUUGUCUUUUAAUUGAAGGCUAGAAUGAAUGGUUGGACGAGAAAUAUACUUUCUUUAUUUAGAUACUGUGAAUUUUAUUUUUGAGUUAAAAAGCUUAAAUAUUUUUGCAAGACGAGAAGACCCUAUAGAAUUUUAUUAUACUUAUU